UACGGAGGGUGCAAGCGUUAAUCGGAAUUACUGGGCGUAAAGCGCACGCAGGUGGCUGAGUCAGUCGAUUGUGAAAGCCCUGGGCUUAACCUGGGAAUUGCAGUCGAUACUACUCGGCUUGAGUAUGGGAGAGGGCAGUGGAAUUCCCGGUGUAGCGGUGAAAUGCGUAGAUAUCGGGAGGAACAUCAGUGGCGAAGGCGGCUGCCUGGCCCAAUACUGACACUCAGGUGCGACAGCGUGGGGAGCAAACAGG
rnacentral:rRNA from 1 species